rnacentral:tRNA from 1 species
GGGCCGUAGCUCAAGCGGUAGAGCACUGCGCGCUUCACGGAGCAGAUGCGGAUCGAAAUCCGCCCGGCCCA